rnacentral:rRNA from 1 species
UACGUAGGGCGCAAGCGUUGUCCGGAAUUAUUGGGCGUAAAGAGCUCGUAGGCGGUCUGUCGCGUCCGUUGUGAAAACUCGAGGCUCAACCUCGGGCUUGCAGUGGAUACGGGCAGACUAGAGGUGCGGUAGGGGAGACUGGAAUUCCUGGUGUAGCGGUGGAAUGCGCAGAUAUCAGGAGGAACACCGAUGGCGAAGGCAGGUCUCUGGGCCGCAACUGACGCUGGAGGAGCGAAAGCUGGGAGCGAACAGG